GAGGCCACACCGGCUGGAGGGUGGGUGUCUGACCCUCUGAGGGCGCGGGGCCAGGGCUUAGGGGCGGGGCCUGGAGAAUGAGAGUGGCAUCGCUCAAGACCAGGCUCAAGCUCAAGGACAGAGCCCAGGCUCAGGUAGAGAGGAACCACAAGGACGGGCCACCAUCAGCACUGUGCUGAGACCCAGGCACUAUGGAAUUCAGAAGAUAGGAGUCUAGCAGCCUCCAGACAGGGCAAGGAGGGGACAGAGAAAGAUGUGGGUGCAGGAGGCACAGACACCUCUCCUUCCCUGCCUGCUGAGCCACCCUCCCCAGGCCCUCGGGAUCGGGUCCAAGUUCUUCUGCCUGGCGCUCAGUGGCAUCAUCUUCCACUGACCUACAUUUCCAGCCAUGCCAUUCAUUUCUCCCACCUCAAACCCCAGCCUCCACCAUCCAGGACGAUUCACAGGUGAGAAAUCUGCAGUGAAGAA
rnacentral:antisense_RNA from 1 species